UGGUUACUGCCAAGGCUUCUACUGGAAUGUCAUUUCUGAAGAUAUGACCAGAAAGCUAAGGAACGGAGGUAGAUACCAAGAAAGCCAAUGCAGAGAAGCUCUUGGAGACAUUGCCUGGUACCGUAAACAGUUUUGCCAGGCAGAUCACACAUGAUUUGGAAUGGAAUUUACUUUACUGCAAAUGUCAUAGAAUAUUGAUAUCCACUAAGUUUAUUGCAUUCAAUAUUCAGUUUAAGAGGUGGUCUUUCUGAAAGUGGAGUCCACGAAUGAAGGCAAAGAAAGCAUUUCCAAUGCUUAUUAUUCAGCAAGGAUAUUCCUGAACAAGAGACAACCUCAUUUGACCUUUACUUGAAUACAGACAUCCAAUUCUCUCCAAUUCAAGAAUCCUCUGAAUUAUCCAGAGAAUUAUAAAUAGUAGUUAAGCAUUCCGGCCAUGGAUAUUAGAGGUGGCAGUGAACAUCUAAGCAGAAGUUGAUCCAAUUUCACACUUUCAGAGGCGGAUGGACAAAGAGAGAAGCCAAGCUAAGCUGUGUUGCUUUCUUUGGCCUAGUA